rnacentral:rRNA from 1 species
AAUCAACGCUGGCGGCGUGCCUCAGACAUGCAAGUCGAACGAUUAAAGCUCUCUUCGGAGAGUGUAUAGAGUGGCGCACGGGUGAGUAACACGUAAGUAAUCUACCUUUGAGUGGGGAAUAACGUCCGGAAACGGACGCUAAUACCGCAUAAUGCAGCGGCAUCGCAAGAUGACAGUUGUUAAAGAUUUAUCGCUUGAAGAGGAGCUUGCGGCAGAUAGCUAGUUGGUAAGGUAAUGGCUUACCAAGGCUACGAUCUGUAACCGGUCUAAGAGGACGGUCGGUCACACUGACACUGAAUAACGGGUCAGACUCCUAC